rnacentral:rRNA from 1 species
UACGGAGGGUGCAAGCGUUAAUCGGAAUUACUGGGCGUAAAGCGCACGCAGGUGGCUGAGUCAGUCGAUUGUGAAAGCCCUGGGCUUAACCUGGGAAUUGCAGUUGAUACUACUCAGCUAGAGUAUGGGAGAGGGUAGUGGAAUUCCCGGUGUAGCGGUGAAAUGCGUAGAUAUCGGGAGGAACAUCAGUGGCGAAGGCGGCUACCUGGCCCAAUACUGACAC